rnacentral:rRNA from 1 species
CUAUUUGCCGGUGAAGCAUCCGACACUGAUAGCACGGACCUCGAUGAGCCCGUAGAAUCCUCCAACACGGGAUCUAUCGACCUAGAUCCUUUCGACUAUGUCUACUCGAACAUCCCAGAUAGCACACACAUCCUGAAGCACGCGGCAAACUGCGAGCAUUGCAAGGCCAAGAAGUUCCAGUACGAGACCGCCGGCUUCUGUUGUAGGAACGGGGAGAUUGAGCUAGCUGAACCCGAGCCUAUCCCAGAGCUGAUGAGGUUAUGGUCAAGCGCGGAUGCAGACUCUCGGCAUUUCCGAGAGAGCAUUCAGUUCUUCAAUGGG